UGUGUAGCCUUGGACAAAUUACUUAAGAUUCUAUGUGCCACAAUCAACUACAUUGAUGUAUGUAGUCACACACAGGUUGGAAGCUGCAAUCAACUACAUAAACAUAUUUUCAUGAAACAUAUACUUGAUGAUGGAGCCAAGAUGAUGGGGUGAAGUCAGAAGCUGCAUGAGCUUUCCCAGUUUCCUUUGAAAACUGCAUGAAACCAAGAUUCUGAACAGAGUUUGGAAUGACAGAGCCUACAAAGAGAUGGAAUGAAACACUUUUUCAGGACAAGAUAGGUUAGAAGAACUUUAAAAGUUUAUCCUGUAUGAUAAUAUGGAAUGAGUGUGCUGGAAUCAACUUGAACUGGCUGGGGGAAAGCAGAAUGUUAAAUUUUCAGGGUGAGCAUUUUCAUUUAAGAAAU